AGGUGCGAUCAUACCAGCACUAAUGCACCGGAUCCCAUCAGAACUCCGCAGUUAAGCGUGCUUGGGCGGCCGAGAGUAGUACUAGGAUGGGUGACCUCCUGGGAAGUCCUUGUGUUGCACCUC
rfam:Medicago truncatula strain A17 chromosome 2, whole genome shotgun sequence.